CGACCUUCAGUUCUACAUCCUUGACUGUUUUAGAAACUACAUGAUUCUUUAUACCUUGCUCAAAAUCUCUGCUUCUAAUCAACUCCUCAUCAGCUUCAUGCUUUACUGGCUUUAGGUCCUCAGCAGUUUCAUGCUUUACUGGCUUUAGGUCCUCAGCAGCAUCAUGCUUCACAGGGUUCAAUUCCUCAGCAGCUUCAUGCCUUACAGGCUUCAAGUCCUCAGAAGCAACUACUUUGGUUUCCCUCAAAUCGUCAGUACC
rnacentral:lncRNA from 1 species